CCUCACACAACAUGCUCUUACUUUCAUCCUAUAAAAUCUGAGAUUUCUCACCUCAUCAUAAAAAGAUAAAACCAAGGCUACAUUUCUCUUUCAUUCUUCCACCGGAUCUAUUUCUCCUUUCAAUGCUUCAUAUCACCUCCCACGAAACCAACAUUCUUCAACACCAUUGAACAGCAUAAAUCAAAUGUGUAGCCACCAUUGAUUCCCAUCCAACAACAAUAUUCUUGCUCUCUCAUUUAUACACCUAUGAGUCUGACCGAGGCGCACAAACCUUCUCUGCAACUGUGAAAGCCCCACUACGUACUACCAAGUCAUGAUCUCGAUCCGUCGUCGCCUUCGGAGGGCCUGAGUGAUCUACUAUUGCAGCAUAUGGUCAACAUGAGUCUUUCAACAAUUAAAAGUCAGGUCAAAAAGUACUUGGUCAGAGAUUUAAUGCAAAUGCAGGAGAUGAGUUUGAAAGUACUAAUAACAUCUUGUUUCUCUACUAUAUAAACACCUCUCCACUACCAUCUCAUAAUACAUAAUAUGACACUUUCUAACCGGUUUUUAUUCAUUUUUAUCUUUUAUAAAUUUCUUUCUUCUACUUAUGAAAGUUAUAAAAUAAUGAGGUUGUCUACUUAGCCAAUAGUAGAAUUCAAAUAGCAUACAUGUUAUGUUACCAUUGAUGUAAACUACAGUAGAUAACUCUUCUAUUACUUUGUGGAGGCAGAAAACUCAUCUUGCCUAAAACCGGUAGUACUCGGAUUAUAUGGGGUAAAUAAUUAAUAUAUUAAAUUAGAAAUAUAACUUUAAAUUAAUUUUGUAAUGUAAUAUAUUAAUUCCUUAUCCCAUGUAACUAGAGUACUACUGAUUUUGAGGUAGAAUGAAUUUCCGCUUCCACAAAGUAAUAGAAGAAUUUUUUAUCGUGGUUUACAUCAAAUUCUACUCUUGGCUAAGUAGACAACCUUGUAAUUUUGUCACUUCCAUAAUAGAAGAAAGAAAUAUAACAAAAGAUAAAAAUGAAUAAAAAUCGACUAGAAAGUGUCAUAUUUAAAACAGAAUAGAAUGUAUUAUGAGAUGAAAGUGGUAGAGAAGAGGAGAGUUAGAUUGAAGCAUAAUAGUUUAGAAUGAUGGAAGUAUAAGAGAGGAGAUCUAUUUAUUUAUAUAAUAGAGAAGGAAGUAUAAGAGAGGAGAUCUAUUUAUAUAGUAGAGAAGGCGAGGUGUUUAAAAUAGUUUCACAUGUGUCACCCACUUAAUUUUCAUUUGGCUGUAGUACUACUAUGUGUUUCAAAUGGAGGAGUGUAAUAAUUCAAAACCAUAAUGUAUAUGUAACUAUUAAAUGUAACUAUAGUUUUUUACUUAA